rnacentral:rRNA from 1 species
UCGCUACUACCGAUUGGACGUUUUGGUGAGGCUCAAGGAUGGUAGUGCCAGGUGGUUCGCCACUAGGCACAUGCCAGAAUUGAAACAAACCUGAGCGUCUAGAGGAAGUAA